rnacentral:rRNA from 1 species
GAUCCUGGCUCAGAAUGAACGCUGGCGGCGUGCUUAACACAUGCAAGUCGAACGAGAAAUCUUUAGCUUGCUAGAGAAAGUAAAGUGGCGCACGGGUGAGUAACGCGUGGGUAAUCUGCCUCCGAAUCGGGGAUAACAUUGCGAAAGCGAUGCUAAUACCGGAUAAAAUCUGGUUGGCUUCGGUGAACCGGAUCAAAGGUGGUCUCUUUAUAAAAGCUACCGUUUGGAGAUGAGCUCGCGUACCAUUAGCUAGUUGGUGAGGUAAAGGCUCACCAAGGCGACGAUGGUUAGCUGGUCUGAGAGGAUGAUCAGCCACACCGGAACUGGAACACGGUCCGGACUCCUACGGGAGGCAGCAGUGAGGAAUUUUGCGCAAUGGGGGAAACCCUGACGCAGCAACGCCGCGUGAGUGAUGAAGGCUUUCGGGUCGUAAAGCUCUGUCAGGUGGGAAGAACCCACCAAGUGUUAAGACCACUUGGUGCUGACGGUACCACCGAAGGAAGCACCGGCUAACUCCGUGCCAGCAGCCGCGGUAAUACGGGGGGUGCGAGCGUUAUUCGGAAUCAUUGGGCGUAAAGGGCGCGCAGGCGGUUUUGUAAGUCAGAUGUGAAAUCCCGGGGCUUAACCCCGGAAGUGCAUAUGAAACUAUGAGACUUGAGUAUGGGAGAAGGGAAGCGGAAUUCCUGGUGUAGCGGUGAAAUGCCGUAGAUAUCAGGAGGAACACCGGUGGCGAAGGCGGCUUCCUGGACCAAUACUGACGCUGA